GACGUAGGGUGCAAGCGUUGUCUGGAAUUAUUGGGCGUAAAGAGUUCGUAGGCGGUCUACCAAGUCUGGUGUUAAAUACCGGAGCUCAACUCCGACACGGCAUCGGAAACUGGUAGGCUAGAGUAUAGUAGAGGCAAGGGGAAUUCCCGGUGUAGCGGUGAAAUGCGUAGAUAUCGGGAGGAACAUCAGUGGCGAAAGCGCCUUGCUGGGCUAUUACUGACGCUGAGGAACGAAAGCUAGGGUAGCAAAAGGG
rnacentral:rRNA from 1 species